rnacentral:rRNA from 1 species
AGCGAACGCUGGCGGCAGGCUUAACACAUGCAAGUCGAACGCCCCGCAAGGGGAGUGGCAGACGGGUGAGGAACACGUGGGAAUAUGCCCUUUGGUUCGGAAUAACUCAGGGAAACUUGAGCUAAUACCGAAUAAGCGCGAAAGCAGAAAGAUUUAUCGCCGAAGGAGUAGCCCGCGUCUGAUUAGCUAGUUGGUGAGGUAACGGCUCACCAAGGCGACGAUCAGUAGCUGGUCUGAGAGGAUGAUCAGCCACACUGGGACUGAGACACGGCCCAGACUCCUACGGGGGGCAGCAGUGGGGAAUAUUGGACAAUGGGCGCAAGCCUGAUCCAGCCAUGCCGCGUGAGUGAUGAAGGCCUUAGGGUUGUAAAGCUCUUUUGUCCGGGAAGAUAAUGACUGUACCGGAAGAAUAAGCCCCGGCUAACUUCGUGCCAGCCGCCGCAGUAACAC